rnacentral:rRNA from 1 species
UUGAACGCUGGCGACAUGCCUUACACAUGCCCGUCGAACGGCAGCACGGGUGCUUGCACCUGGUGGCGAGUGGCGAACGGGUGAGUAAUACAUCGGAACAUGUCCUGUAGUGGGGGAUAGCCCGGCGAAAGCCGGAUUAAUACCGCAUACGAUCUACGGAUGAAAGCGGGGGACCUUCGGGCCUCGCGCUAUAGGGUUGGCCGAUGGCUGAUUAGCUAGUUGGUGGGGUAAAGGCCUACCAAGGCGACGAUCAGUAGCUGGUCUGAGAGGACGACCAGUCACACUGGGACUGAGACACGGCCCAGACUCCUACGGGAGGCAGCAGUGGGGAAUUUUGGACAAUGGGCGAAAGCCUGAUCCAGCAAUGCCGCGUGUGUGAAGAAGGCCUUCGGGUUGUAAAGCACUUUUGUCCGGAAAGAAAUCCUUGGCCCUAAUACGGUCGGGGGAUGACGGUACCGGAAGAAUAAGCACCGGCUAACUACGUG